AUCUUGGCUCCCUGCAGCCCCCGCCUCCCGGGUUGAAGGGACUCUCCGGCCUCAGGCCGCGGCGUUUUUGUAAACUGGAACCGGCCUGUGCGCCAAGCGCGGCUCCCGCGGCUGCGGAGAGAGGCCCAGCAGGGGGCGGGGACGCCGCGAGGCGGGGCCUGGCCGAGCUGCGCACGCCCGGGUGGUUCUGGCUACGGGUACCCGGACCUGCCCAACGACAGUUCUCCAUUCCCGACCUCCGCACCCUACCCGGUCCGCAGGGCACUUUCCUCCUCUCUCCCAGGCACGUCCUCGACCUCAGUUGCCACGUGCACAUGCUGGUGCCUUCCAGGUCGGUCUUUCUCCACCAGUCUCCACCUGCAACUUUCUUCCUUUUCGUCCUGUGCUGGCCUAACCCCUGCUCGGCCUCGGCCCUCAGCUGCCGGCUCUAACAAUGCCUCUGUCUUUCCGAGACCCCCGUGACCAGCUCAGGCUCUGCUCCCUGCGUUCCUCUCUCCUCGCUUCCCUCCCCGCCUCCCCGGGGCUUCCCCAUCAGUGUGGAUUCCGACCUCAUAAGGACCAGUCUAACGCUCUCUGCUGGAUGGAAGCGCAAAACGGACCCUCUCACUCUUGCCUUAUCCCCAGCACCAAGGAGGGGCUCAGAGUGGGACUGGUGGCUUCUUAAGAAGAGAAAGAGACCUGAGGAAGCACACUGAACCCCUCACCAUAUGAUGCCCUGUACCACCCCGAGACCGCAGCGUCCCCACCAGCAAGAAGGCUGGAGUAUACUGGCAUGAUCAUAGAUCACUGCAGCCUCAAACUCCUGGGCUCAAGCGAUCCUCCUACCUCAGCCUCCAUAUAGCUGGUGGGAACCAAGUUUCUAACACAUGAAUGUUGGGAGACACAUUCAGACCAUCGCAGUGGCCUUAUAAAAAGAGACACAAGAGCUUGCUCUCUGCCAUGUGAGUAUACCACAAGAAGACUGUCCUCAGCAAAUCAGAAAGCGGGUGGACCCUCAUCAGACACCAGAUGUGCCUGCACCUUGAUCUUGGACUUGCCAGCCUUCAGAACAGCCAUCAGCUGGAUGAAGAAUUUAGUAAGCAUGAAACAGCUUGCAAAGCAUUGGUGAGUGGCUGAGGGCCACGGAACGAGACCACCGUGUGGCCCAUCUGUGAGGAUGAAUCUAACAGCAGUGACUCUACCUGCGUCCUCCCCAUCUUUUCUGCUUUUCCAUACAAUGGCUAAUUCACUGCGUGUGACAUCAUCACUAGCACUGUGUUUAUCUGUCACAUUUCUUCUGUUUUGUGGGUUUGUUUUGCAUUAAAGGUCUACUUCUCUGAGCUUUGAGCUGUAAGGCUUGACUGUGAGCAGCAACUGAAGAGUGUGGCACCUCACACUCGGUAGGAAGAAGCUGAAUGACAGAUGUCGGCAGUGAGGGUGGGGAAAGCAGCCAGGUAGCAAGCAGCUG
rnacentral:lncRNA from 1 species